CUUCUGUCCUCUCCGCACAAGAGGGCAGAUCGAGGCCCGGCGCUCUCUGCCCUGACAGCGACGGGUCUUGCGGCUCCGGGCUGCGGUGCCGGGCGGGUUGAGGGUCCCGCUCCGGCGC
rnacentral:ncRNA from 1 species